UCGCUUGCUGCCAGGAGAGGAGUGGGUGUGCUUUCCAAGCCGGGCGCCUUCAUCAACGAGACAGUGGGACUGAUGGAACAUAAGAUGGACCUGCACCAAACAACUGCAUGUCUCAUGCCUCCAGUAACACCACCGAGCACUGGCCCAUGAGAGAACAUGAACUUCAACCACAAACCAAUCAUCAAUUGUCUUAGAUUGUGUCAACCUGCAUUGCAAUGGGCAAUUGUAUAAGCAUCGCAGUGUGUUGGAUCCCUGUAUUACGGAAGGCUAACCCUCCAGCUGGCUCAGUCAUUGGUUCACACCAUGAAGGGAUGGAGUGUAUGAGAACUGUUGAGUCAUGGCCUGAACAACUGAUGGAGCAACUGGGGAAAGGACCUGGUCAGUCCUGAGAGCACAGGGGAAGGCAAUUCAUCUGUGUGAGUGGACGGGGUGGUGCCUGGCUGCUUCUCUCUUAGACCUCAUUUAAGGGCUGAGUGCCACUGGGGAAGGAUCUCUUUCUGGAGAUCCCUCCUUGGUGAAGCUUCCCCCUGUCAACCUAGAAUCUUCUAAUAUGGGUGAGCAAUCUUCUUCCCUUCCAGUGUAGCACCUCUCUAUUGUGUCAGUCCUUCCAUCAUCACACCUUUGUUGUAACACCUUUCCCACUGUAUUGAUCUAAUUGCUACAGUAAGGAAGGAGGAAAAAUUCUCAGGCAUCUUCCAUUAUGUUAAUGGUUUGCUACUGAAGUUGUAAUGGAUGUGUACAUCCAACAGAAAUCUCCAAACUCUAUCCUUAAACCAGUAUUACUGUUACAGUUCAGAUCACAAUAACAAAAAUGAACCACCAGUGAGGAAAAACAACCACAGUGAGAAAGAACAACUUGCUUAAACUCAUUUCACUGAAUAAAUAAAAUCCUGAGGUCCAGUAAUUUUAGCAGUAGCAGGGCUUCAAGUGGCACUUAAAAAGGCAUUUCUUAAACAAUACGUAAUUUGUAUUUUCUUGGUUUCCAAAAUAACUUAAGAUUCUUUAUCUUGUUUUUUUUUUUUUUUUUAAAUCGCUGCAACAUUCAGGUGGAAAAAUAUGUGAUUUCUAAUGGUCAGGCUCCAUUUACACUUCAUAGCAGUGUGUAAUGGUUCUUUUUGACCACCUUGAGGCUGGAAAACAUUUCUAUAUCACUAUCUCCAGAUCUAGAGUUCUUCAUGCUUAAAAACUGCUGAUUCAUAACAGAUAUUCCUCUUCCUUUUUCACUACAAGUUACUUUCUGAGCACGUCCAACUCCAUGAAAGAGACAAGAGGAUCCUCCCCAUAAAGUGAUUAAAAGAUUUAUUUCAGUAUGUGAAAGUCUGAGUUAAAAAAAAAAAAAGCUUCACAGCAGGACAAAACAUGGGCUUUACAAGCCUACCAGUAGGACAGUAUUGCACUGCAAACUGCAGAGCAAUUGGUUCUCAGUCUUUCUUUAUGAAGCUUUUUUUUUUUUUAGCAUAGAAAAGUAUCCUUCAUUUGUUUGAGAGAGAUUCUUAGGACUUAUGUGGUAUAAAGAUAAAAUGUACUGAGGUCUAUGAGAAAAUUAGUUUCUUCAAAGUAGAGCAGUUUCACCAGGGAAGCUUAGGAGAGCUGUGAGAGACAGCACUUCCCAGGAGCACUGAAAAAGGAUUUGCACCCAGUUCAUUCACUCUGCUAGCCUUUCUGCAUUAUUUAGCUGCUCUGCCAUUUCUGCGUGCAUUAAGAAACCCCAUUUUUAGGUGAAUGUUAAGAUCCAAGAAUUGAUGACAGAAUUUAUAAAUUUGUCACAGAAUUAUUAAUUCUUCUAGUUGUCUGGAAAAGAAAAGUUAGUACUAACCCAUGUAAUUCCUACAACACAAAUCCACCUGAGAACCUACCCUCUAUGUCUCAGUUAUGUGAUGCCUGAGGACAGUCAGAAGUCAAGUUAUUCUACAGAAUAGGACAUCAUCAUAAUAACAGUAAUUUUUUGUCCACAGAAAUUGCCAUUAAUAGAGAAAGGAAGAAAAUUAAUGUCUAAUUGCAGGUUGUCAGAACCAAGCAAUUUUCACCGGUGAGUAUGAUUGGGAACAGCACUACCAAGGUGAUCCCACUUCUAAAAACAUGACUUAUUAUCUCCUUUUUCUAACUUCGAAAACACUGAAAAGCCUUUACCUUUUUAAUAGAGCACAGCUUUUCAGAAGCAUGGAGUACAUAUUUGUCUGGAGUAUUUCUAGAUUAGAUUUCAGGACAGUCAUAAAUCUGUAUUAGGAAAUAACUAGGCAAGCAGCUACAGUAUGAUUGCAUGGAAUGCUCCAGAGCAAUUAGCAGAUUGAGCAGCAAUUUUUUUAGAAGGCUAAAAUCUAGUCUAAUCAAACAUAUUUCAACUGAACUUCCUGGAGGAAAGGACAGUCUGUUUUUAUACUGGAGUCUGAAAUAAUUUCAGCUUGGAGUUUGUCAAAGGUAAUUUUUUUUCCUCCUGUAAUUUGGACAAGACCACUUCUGCAGCUGUAGGCAGUUUGUGGGCACUUUUCAAAGAACACCAAAAACAAUCCAAAACAUGUAAAUUCAUAUUAUGAAAAUGCUUAUACUUAAAAUGAUGCUAAAUAACUUAAACAGGUAUUUCUAUAGAAGGGGAUUGCCAGAAAAGGAAGAACUAAAGCAAUACUUCUAGUAACUCAAUGAAAAGCACAGCAGUGACUGCAGAGUAGCAAAGUCCUAGGCUGUAGCAAAUGAGGUCUAGCCCAAAAACUGUGGGCAAAGAUACAAAGAAUCUGCUUACCUUCCCAGUCUCAGGUAUGCAGGGAUCUCCAGCAAAAUACCUUCACCUCCACCACCAGCCCUUAAAUGAGGUCUGGGAAGGGGUGGAUCCAGGCUCCAGUCCUUCCAGUCACUCAGGUGCAUUGCAUGCAGCUGAGCUCCCCUGGGUUGGCCCUGCCUUCCACCAGGUGCUGAAUCACUGGUUCAAGUCAUGACUCAGCAAUUCCACUACAUCUGUGUAUGUGCUGCUUGCUAUCUGAGAGGAAAAGAAAAAAAAACCAAAAGAAAAAAAGAAAAAAGAAAAAAAAAAAAAAAAACGGCCACUCUAACUUCUGUUUACAGUUCCAUCUGGAUAAUCUGACAAAAUCUCAGCAGCAAAACCCCACUCCCCUCUUGGAAGGUAAGAGGGCUACAAAGGGCAAUGGUGCCAAGCACCCAUAGUUGAAUAUCUUUCCGUUGCCUUGCAGGGCAGUAAAGGUCUGACUUAUUGCUUUCUCACACUCUGUGUGGAGUUGCCUCUUGGGGACUCUGCCUUUGAGUCUUGCUUUUUCCUUGCAUCUACAGUGCCUUAUUUCUCAAGAACACUUUCCAUCAGCUAAGUAUUUUAGAAAGCAUUAAGCAGUACGCCUGGUUUUGGAGCACAUACCCACUUACUUCAGCAAUGAUUUUCCCUUCUCUUUGGUUUUGUAGAUGAGAUUAGGAUAUUUCUAUCUGCGCCAAGUUUGUUAACAACCUACUGCUGUGAACGGUUUUGCCCUUCACGCACCCGAAGCCUUUUAGAAUGGCGCCAGCCUUCCGGCCUUGAGGCAGCCCCUAGCCCAACGGCCUCGUCUCGCCCGCGGGCAAGGAACGCGCUGCGCCCGCCGCGUGCUGCCAGCGCCCCCUGCCGGCACGUUCGUGCUGCGCAACGGAAAGCAGCGCAUCGGUGCCUGAGCCUCACUCGUAGCCUUUGGAAAUCUCCCUCAAUGGGAUAUCUUCUACCUAAAAAAUCACACAAUGAAAUUGAGAUGUAAAGGUUUGAGUUCUCUCAAAACUGCUUUCACUUAUAUGAAGAACAUAACAAAUUUCCCAAAAUGUUUAAUGUCUGUACUUGCAGUACAGCAGGAGGAAAAAACAAAAAGAAAACCAAACUUGUCUAAUGCCCAAAAAUGACAUCUGUGAGGGGAAAAAAACACAACAAAACUGUACUAAAAAGGAUGAAAAGAACAUCUAGUAUAAUUUAUCUUCACAAAUGCCCUUAAUAGACUAAAUUUGCAACAUAAAACUGCUUUUCUACCCAAUUUGAAUAAUAAAGAAAUUGUUAUUGAUAUUACUGCUAAACUAGCUUUGUGCAGUGUAGUAAAUCAUACUUGUGCUACGCUAAACAGAUGGAUGCAUUUUUACUGCCCAUUACAGACUGCAUAGGUUAGCCAUCACAGAAAGUCUUAUCAGCACAUUUCUCCCUGUCAUGUAACCUCCAUCUAAGGGCACUACUAAAAUCAAUAGCUGAGAUUUAAAAGGUUCAUAAGGAAAUCUGAUCACCAUAAUGCUGAUUUGUCACACAGCCAAUGUCACAUAGCCCUUUCCACAGAUCAGAUACUGGUGCUGCAGGCCGAGAAUAGCAGUCUGAAUUCAAGCAUCACCCAUCUUCCCAGAACAGCAUCUGAAAUUUCACUUGAGGCUCAUAGCAGAGCCAACUAAAUUAACAUUUUCACCAUUAUUGACACUACAAGAUUUAUUACUCCCUGUUCAAUUUUAAAAGUUUCCCUGGGGAAAUUUUUAAGGGGUGCUUGCUUUAUUGGUUGUUAUUGAGUUGGACCAUUUGACAGCUGGUGUGGAAUGUCUGAAUAACAAAAUCCUUGCUUGGAAGAAAUCAAGAGACCUCUGGUGACUGAUAUGGAGGAUAUUGAUUUGAUUUUAGCAUGAUGCAUUUAGUUUCCAUUGUUAAAAUAAUAUAACAAUUUAUAGAAUUAAUUAAUAGAAUGAAUAGUAACCAUAUGAAGUGUAUACACAGAGGAGCCUGUCUAGGGCUGCUGCUAAAGCUUCUUGUCUCAUAGAGUUCAGCUCUUGAUCCCCUAGUAAGCAAUAUGUUUCGGUAAGAUUGCUACGAGAGCUGGAUUGUUAUGGGGAGGAAGCACAAGGGCUGAACCCUGGAAUUUCUAAAUUUGAUAUUCCUAGAACCACUCCAGUAAUGCAUUACUGUGGAUGUAAGGUAAGAAGAGAAUGAAAGACAGGAAAGAAAGAUUUCUGUCAUCUUAGAGCUCAGGAAUUAUUUUUUUCCAGCAAAAAGUAUUAAGAAAUCAUGAAACAUGCUUGUAUAAUCAGACUAUUGGAACAACAGAAAUACAGGUGAAUUAUAGUCAUGCAGUCUAAGUAGUAUUCUUGGUAUUAAAAUAUAAAACAUAUAGCAAGACAUAAAACACUGAUAAAAAUGGAAAUAUUAUUUCCUGAGUGAUUACGAGGAAAACAGAGGUCUAGUAAAGUGGAGAAAGGAGAGAUCAAGAGUGCAAUGAAUUCAUCAAGACAUACAAAUGUUUAUAGAAACAUAUGCAAAGACAUUUGCUUCUUCUACCUUGCUGAUGAAAAGUACUUUCAGAUAAGCACAAGUGCAUCAAGUUUAUCUGCUACCAACAUUGUUUACUAGUUGCCAUAAUUAGUAAGUCUUUAAUUUUAGAUUUAGUCAUUACAGUCAUAAAUUUUACCACUGCUAUCAAAAUGGCUCUCAAUCUCCACUGAAAGGAUUGGUGAAUAUUUUACGCCAAGAACCAAAAAAAAAAAAAAAAAAAAGUCUACAAAACCAAGAAA